rnacentral:rRNA from 1 species
ACAACCUGCCCUUAGGUUGGGUAUAAACCCGGGAAACUGGGUAUAAUACCCGAUAGGUCUCGAUUGCUGGAAUGCAUCGAGAUUUAAAGCUCCGGCGCCUAAGGAUGGGUCUGCGGCCUAUCAGGUAGUAGUGGGUGUAGCGUACCUACUAGCCUACGACGGGUACGGGUUGUGAGAGCAAGAGCCCGGAGAUGGAUUCUGAGACACGAAUCCAGGCCCUACGGGGUGCAGCAGGCGCGAAAACUUUACAAUGCUGGCAACAGCGAUAAGGGAACCUCGAGUGCCAGGUUACAAAUCUGGCUGUCGAGAUGCCUAAAAAGCAUUUCAUAGCAAGGGCCGGGCAAGACCGGUGCCAGCCGCCGCGGUAACACCGGCGGCUCGAGUGGUAACCGUUAUUAUUGGGUCUAAAGGGUCUGUAGCCGGCCGGAUAAGUCUCUUGAGAAAUCUGGCAGCUUAACUGUCAGGCUUUCAGGAGAUACUGUCUGGCUCGAGGCCGGGAGAGGUGAGAGGUACUUCAGGGGUAGGGGUGAAAUCUUGUAAUCCUUGAAGGACCACCAGUGGCGAAGGCGUCUCACCAGAACGGACCUGACGGCAAGGGACGAAAGCUAGGGGCACGAACCGGAUUAGAUACCCGGGUAGUCCUAGCCGUAAACGAUACUCGCUAGGUGUCGGCCACGGUGCGACCGUUGUCGGUGCCGUAGGGAAGCCGUGAAGCGAGCCACCUGGGAAGUACGGCCGCAAGGCUGAAACUUAAAGGAAUUGGCGGGGGAGCACCACAACGGGUGGAGCUUGCGGUUUAAUUGGAUUCAACGCCGGAAAUCUUACCGGGACCGACAGCAAUAUGAAGGCCAGGCUGAAGACUUUGCCGGAUUAGCUGAGAGGUGGUGCAUGGCCGUCGUCAGUUCGUACUGUGAAGCAUCCUGUUAAGUCAGGCAACGAGCGAGACCCACGCCCACAGUUGCCAGCGUACUCUCUGGAGUGACGGGUACACUGUGGGGACCGCCGCUGCUAAAGCGGAGGAAGGAAUGGGCAACGGUAGGUCGGUAUGCCCCGAAUAUCCCGGGCUACACGCGAGCUACAAUGGUUGGUACAAUGGGUAUCUACCCCGAAAGGGGACGGGAAUCUCCUAAAACCAAUCUUAGUUCGGAUUGAGGGCUGCAACUCGCCCUCAUGAAGCUGGAAUCCGUAGUAAUCGCGUUUCAACAGAACGCGGUGAAUACGUCCCUG